rnacentral:rRNA from 1 species
AUUGAACGCUGGCGGCAUGCCUUACACAUGCAAGUCGAACGGCAGCACGGGAGCAAUCCUGGUGGCGAGUGGCGAACGGGUGAGUAAUAUAUCGGAACGUGCCCAGUCGUGGGGGAUAACGUAGCGAAAGCUACGCUAAUACCGCAUACGAUCUACGGAUGAAAGCGGGGGAUCGCAAGACCUCGCGCGAUUGGAGCGGCCGAUAUCAGAUUAGCUAGAUGGUGAGGUAAAGGCUCACCAAGGCGACGAUCUGUAGCUGGUCUGAGAGGACGACCAGCCACACUGGAACUGAGACACGGUCCAGACUCCUACGGGAGGCAGCAGUGGGGAAUUUUGGACAAUGGGCGCAAGCCUGAUCCAGCAAUGCCGCGUGCAGGAUGAAGGCCUUCGGGUUGUAAACUGCUUUUGUACGGAGCGAAACGGUCUUCUCUAAUACAGGGGGCUAAUGACGGUACCGUAAGAAUAAGCACCGGCUAACUACGUGCCAGCCGCCGCCGUAACAC